UACGGAGGGUGCGAGCGUUAUCCGGAAUUACUGGGUUUAAAGGGUGCGUAGGCGGCUAUGUAAGUCAGGAGUGAAAGUUUGCGGCUCAACCGUAAAAUUGCUUUUGAUACUGCAUGGCUAGAAUUAGGAUGAGGUCAGCGGAAUGUGGCAUGUAGCGGUGAAAUGCAUAGAUAUGCCAUAGAACACCAAUUGCGAAGGCAGCUGGCUAGACCUGGAUUGACGCUGAGGUGCGAAAGCGUGGGGAGCAAACAGG
rnacentral:rRNA from 1 species